UGCGUAGGUGGCGCGGUAAGUCGGGUGUGAAAUUUCGGAGCUUAACUCCGAAACUGCAUUCGAUACUGCCGUGCUUGAGGACUGGAGAGGAGACUGGAAUUUACGGUGUAGCAGUGAAAUGCGUAGAGAUCGUAAGGAAGACCAGUGGCGAAGGCGGGUCCCUGGACAGUUCCUGACACUAAGGCACGAAGGCCAGGGGAGCAAACG
rnacentral:rRNA from 1 species